rnacentral:lncRNA from 1 species
CAGGCUUUGAAGGGAGGGCGUGGGCCCAGUAGACCAUCAGCCAAGGAGAAGAGGCUCUGGGUAUGUCCCGUAAGAAGACAAGGCUACUGGUAUAGACUUGGGGGGACCCAGGGGCAGGGUUUAUUGGGGAGAGUUGGGGUCUGAGUGGGUCCCACCUUAUGCAGGUCAGUGGAUAGGCCGUGGAUGGGUUUGGUGUGCACCCCACCCUCCA